AGUGAACGCUGGCGGUAGGCCUAACACAUGCAAGUCGAACGGCAGCACAGUAAGAGCUUGCUCUUACGGGUGGCGAGUGGCGGACGGGUGAGGAAUACAUCGGAAUCUACUUUUUCGUGGGGGAUAACGUAGGGAAACUUACGCUAAUACCGCAUACGACCUACGGGUGAAAGCAGGGGAUCUUCGGACCUUGCGCGAUUGAAUGAGCCGAUGUCGGAUUAGCUAGUUGGCGGGGGAAAGGCCCACCAAGGCGACGAUCCGUAGCUGGUCUGAGAGGAUGAUCAGCCACACUGGAACUGAGACACGUUCCAGACUCCUCCGGGAGGCAGCAGUGGGGAAUAUUGGACAAUGGGCGCAAGCCUGAUCCAGCCAUACCGCGUGGGUGAAGAAGGCCUUCGGGUUGUAAAGCCCUUUUGUUGGGAAAGAAAAGCAGCAGGUUAAUACCCCGCUGUUCUGACGGUACCCAAAGAAUAAGCACCGGCUAACUUCGUG
rnacentral:rRNA from 1 species